rnacentral:rRNA from 1 species
GACGAACGCUGGCGGCGUGCUUAACACAUGCAAGUCGAACGAAGUGGCGAACGGGUGAGUAACGCGUAAUCAACCUGCCCUUCAGAGGGGGAUAACAGUUGGACACGACUGCUAAUACCGCAUACUGAAGGGGGGGAUUGCGUCUGAUUAGCUAGUUGGAGGGGUAACGGCCCACCAAGGCGAUGAUAAGUAGCCGUGCUGAGAGGAUGAUCGGCCACAUUGGGACUGGGACACGGCCCAGACUCCUACGGGAGGCAGCAGGAGGGAAUCUGCCGCAAUGGACGGAAGUCUGACGGAGCAACGCCGCGUGAGUGAUGACGGCCUUCGGGUUGUAAAGCUCUGUUAAUCGGGACGCGGUACCGGAAUAGAAAGCCACGGCUAACUACGUGCCAGCCGCCGCGGUAAUAC